AAACAUAUUAUACGUAAUUAACAACUAAAACUAUUUGCUUUUUUUUUUUACAAUGAUUAUUUUUUAAUCUCAUAUGCUUCAUCAUUGUGCAAUUAAUAAUAGAGCCUUAAAUUUAUUCGACGACUGAUUAUCGUUUCUUUGAAACUUGUAAUUGAUCAAGAGUUUUGGUAGGAUUCCACUAUUUGAAAUCUAGUUAAACAAUCAUUGUUUAUGAUGUAGUUUGUGUCGUAGGGUCAGAUGCUUGAUAAAUAUAAAUUUUGUCAUCUUUCUUUUUUUUUUUUUUUUUUUUUGUUAUCUCCCACCUCAA
rnacentral:lncRNA from 1 species